UACGGAGGGUGCAAGCGUUAUCCGGAUUUACUGGGUUUAAAGGGUGCGUAGGUGGGUUGGGAGGUCAGUGGUGAAAUACUUUCGCUUAACGAAGGAACUGCCAUUGAUACUAUCAAUCUUGAAUGUAGUGGAGGUAGGCGGAAUGCGUCAUGUAGCGGUGAAAUGCUUAGAUAUGACGCAGAACACCAAUUGCGAAGGCAGCUUGCUACACUACUAUUGACACUGAGGCACGAAAGCGUGGGGAUCAAACAGG
rnacentral:rRNA from 1 species